UGUAGCAAUACGAUGGAAAGUCUAGUGGCGAACGGGUGCUUAACACGUGGGCAACCUGCCAGGAAGUGGGGGAUAGCUCGCCGAAAGGCGAAUUAAUACCGCAUGUGAUUAGAGAGGACAUCCUUUCGAAAUUAAAGUCGGGGCAACCUGACGCUUCUUGUGGGGCCCGCGGCCUAUCAGCUAGUUGGUGGGGUAAUGGCUCACCAAGGCUUUGACGGGUAGCUGGUCUGAGAGGACGACCAGCCACACUGGGACUGAGACACGGCCCAGACACCUACGGGUGGCAGCAGUCGAGAAUUUUUGACAAUGGGGGAAACCCUGAUCGAGCGACGCCGCGUGGAGGAUGAAGGUCUUCGGAUUGUAAACUCCUGUCAUUGGGGAACAAUGUCCCGCCAUUAACUGUGGCGGGAUUGAUAGUACCCGAAGAGGAAGAGACGGCUAACUCUGUGCCAGCAGCCGCGGUAAUACAGAGGUCUCAAGCGUUGUUCGGAUUCAUUGGGCGUAAAGGGUGCGUAGGCGGCGCGGUAAGUCGGGUGUGAAAUCUUGGAGCUUAACUCCGAAACUGCAUUCGAUACUGCCGUGCUUGAGGACUGGAGAGGAGACUGGAAUUCUCGGUGUAGCA
rnacentral:rRNA from 1 species